UGGGGAAUAUUGGACAAUGGGCGAAAGCCUGAUCCAGCCAUGCCGCGUGUGUGAAGAAGGUCUUCGGAUUGUAAAGCACUUUAAGUUGGGAGGAAGGGCAGUAAGCGAAUACCUUGCUGUUUUGACGUUACCGACAGAAUAAGCACCGGCUAACUCUGUGCCAGCAGCCGCGGUAAUACAGAGGGUGCAAGCGUUAAGCGGAAUUACUGGGCGUAAAGCGCGCGUAGGUGGUUCGUUAAGUUGAAUGUGAAAGCCCCGGGCUCAACCUGUGAACUACAUCCAAACCUGGCGAGCUAGAGUAGAGCAGAGGGUGGUGGAGUUUCCUGUGUAGCGGUGAAAUGCGUAGAUAUAGGAAGGAACACCAGUGGCGAAGGCGACCACCUGGGCUCAUACUGACACUGGGGUGCGAAAGCGUGGGGAGCAAACAGG
rnacentral:rRNA from 1 species